rnacentral:rRNA from 1 species
CCUACGGGAGACAGCAGUGGGGGAUAUUGCACAAUGGGGGAAACCCUGAUGCAGCGACGCCGCGUGUGGGAAGACGGUCCUCUGGAUUGUAAACCACUGUCCCCAGGGACGAAGGUGACGGUACCUGGGGAGGAAGCUCCGGCUAACUACGUGCCAGCAGCCGCGGUAAUACGUAGGGAGCGAGCGUUGUCCGGAAUUACUGGGUGUAAAGGGAGCGUAGGCGGGACUGCAAGUUGGGUGUAAAAUCUACCGGCUCAACCGGUAGCCGCACUCAAAACUGCAGUUCUUGAGUGAAGUAGAGGCAGGCGGAAUGCCUAGUGUAGCGGUGAAAUGCGUAGAUAUUAGGAGGAACACCAGUGGCGAAGGCGGCCUGCUGGGCUUUUACUGACGCUGAGGCUCGAAAGUGUGGGGAGCGAACAGGAUUAGAUACCCGUGUAGUC